rnacentral:lncRNA from 1 species
CCUAUCUAUUUAUUGCUUCUGUGUGGUUCAAUACUACUAAUUUCUUUCUACAUGUUCUGUUAUGAAUCCCAAACCCCUGCCCCCUAUGUGUUCAUGCUGAAAAUUAUUGUCCAUGAAUUAAACUUGAUCCCCUAGGAUCCUAGCCUCUAAUAAUGUGUGUUCUAGCAGGCUUAUGGGUAUGCUAGCACCCUCCAUUAUUGGGAAUGCCUAAAGCUUGCCCUUGCCUAAGCAAUAGGCUCCUUACAAUCUCCCUAUUCCCCUGAAACCCCCUAUGUGUGUUUAUUAGUAGGUGUUUCUCUCUCCUUUUCCCCUUUAGCAUUUUUCUUCUACACUUGCACACUUUCUGAGUCUUUAUGUUCUUCCCCCCUCUUGUG